AGGUCUAUUUAAAUUGCUUAUCUGUUCUUGAUUUAAUUUUGGUUCUCCCUUUAGUGGAAGAAGGGCUAUCACCUUGAAGCUGGCUGACUCUGGAUGGUCUGGUGGGUCUGGAUGUUUUCCCCAGUGUACAGUUCCCAGUCCUCAUGAGGCUUUGAGCCUUUUUGUCUAUUUUUAAGAUUUUAAGGUAAAUUACCUCAAAGAUGAUUUGGCUGUUUAAUGAUUUAAAAGAUUUCAUACAGUAAAUAAGAACAGGGCCUGGAAAACUUUACAUUUCUUCAUAAUGGUAGUCUCCUACCAGAAGAAAUGCAGAGAAAUGGAAACAAAUAACUUUUGCAGCAGCGACAAGGAGAUUAAAACAAUAUUUCACAACAUAUAUGCCUGCUAUAAAAGAGCAAAAACUGAGAAGAAAAUUUGGUAGGAAAGAACAAAGUAAAAGAGUGACCUCAUGAUCUACAAAAUGAAUCCUGCAGACUGUGCCAGUCAAUCACCAUUUUGAUAUUCUAGCCAUCAAUACUGAGAUUACUGCUCCACAUACUGCUUCAACACAGCAGAAAUAUGCUUAAGGGGCAUUUCAGAAAGUGUUGGAAACCAGCAUACUAAUAAAAUGCUGAUCUGUUGUGCUGUUUCCCAUUAUUUUCAAGACUUUGCCUCUCAAUAAAGCCCUAUUCUUUUUAUUGAUUCCAAGUACCUCUUGGCACAUCUCUGUGAAGUCAUCUUUAUGGUUUUAUCAGCCUUUGGUGACUUUUUGACCUUUUCUCUACCAUGAAUGAUAAAAUUAAUGAGCAACUGCUUUUGAUCACUGGAUACUUACAUGACGAUGAAACGAAAAUAACAAUGUGUUUUCUUUAUAUUUGGAAUAUUCAUUU